rnacentral:rRNA from 1 species
GAUGAACGCUAGCGGCAGGCCUAACACAUGCAAGUCGAGGGGCAUCGCGGUGCAGCAAUGCACUGGCGGCGACCGGCGUACGGGUGCGUAACGCGUAUGUAACCUGCCCCGCACCGGGGGAUAGCCCGCCGAAAGGCGGAUUAAUACCCCAUGGUCCCGGGGGCCCGCAUGGGCAUCCGGGUAAAGCCUUGGCGGUGCGGGAUGGGCAUGCGUGCCAUUAGCUGGCUGGUGGGGUAACGGCCCACCAGGGCAACGAUGGCUAGGGGGUCUGAGAGGAUGGUCCCCCACACUGGUACUGAGACACGGACCAGACUCCUACGGGAGGCAGCAGUGAGGAAUAUUGGUCAAUGGGCGGAAGCCUGAACCAGCCAUGCUGCGUGCGGGAUGAAGGCCCUACGGGUUGUAAACCGCUUUUCCCCGGGAAGAAUAACCCCGAUGAGUCGGGUGAUGCCGGUACCGGGGAAUAAGGAUCGGCUAACUCCGUGCCAGCAGCCGCGGUAAAACGUCUA